rnacentral:tRNA from 1 species
GUCCCUAUCGUCUAGAGGCCUAGGACACCACCCUUUCACGGUGCGACCGGGGUUCGAAUCCCCGUAGGGACGCCA